rnacentral:rRNA from 1 species
AGUGGACGCUGGCGGUAGGCCUAACACAUGCAAGUCGAACGGCAGCACAGUAAGAGCUUGCUCUUACGGGUGGCGAGUGGCGGACGGGUGAGGAAUACAUCGGACUCUACUUUUUCUUGGGGGAUAACGUAGGUAAACUUACGCUAAUACCUCAUACGACCUACGGGUGAAAGCAGGUGAUCUUCGGACCUUGCGCGAUUGAAUGAGCCGAUGUCGGAUUAGCUAGUUGGCGGGGGAAAGGCCCACCAAGGCGACGAUCCGUAGCUGGUCUGAGAGGAUGAUCAGCCACACUGGAACUGAGACACGGUCCAGACGACUACGGGAGGAAGCAGUGGGGAAUAUUGGACAAUGGGCGAAAGCAUGAUCCAGCCAUACCGCGUGGGUGAAGAAGGACUUCGGGUUGUAAAGCCCUUUUGUUGGGAAAGAAAAGAAGCAGGUUAAUACACCGAUGGUAUGACGGUAACCAAAGAAUAAGCACCGGCUAACUUCGUG